GGGAAUGUGGCUUAGUGGUAGAGUGCUUGCCUAGCAUGCAUGAAGCCCUGGGUUCAAUUCCUAAUACCA
rnacentral:tRNA from 1 species